UGGGGAAUUUUGGACAAUGGGCGAAAGCCUGAUCCAGCAAUGCCGCGUGUGUGAAGAAGGCCUUCGGGUUGUAAAGCACUUUUGUCCGGAAAGAAAUCCUUGGCUCUAAUACAGUCGGGGGAUGACGGUACCGGAAGAAUAAGCACCGGCUAACUACGUGCCAGCAGCCGCGGUAAUACGUAGGGUGCAAGCGUUAAUCGGAAUUACUGGGCGUAAAGCGUGCGCAGGCGGUUUGCUAAGACCGAUGUGAAAUCCCCGGGCUCAACCUGGGAACUGCAUUGGUGACUGGCAGGCUAGAGUAUGGCAGAGGGGGGUAGAAUUCCACGUGUAGCAGUGAAAUGCGUAGAGAUGUGGAGGAAUACCGAUGGCGAAGGCAGCCCCCUGGGCCAAUACUGACGCUCAUGCACGAAAGCGUGGGGAGCAAACAGGAUUAGAUACCCUGGUAGUCCACGCCCUAAAGCGAUGUCAACUAGUUGUUGGGGAUUCAUUUCCUUAGUAACGUAGCUAACGCGUGAAGUUGACCGCC
rnacentral:rRNA from 1 species